AUACGGAGGACGCGAGCGUUAUCCGGAUUCAUUGGGUUUAAAGGGUGCGCAGGCGGCCGUGCAAGUCAGCGGUGAAAGCCCGGGGCUCAACCCCGGAAGUGCCGUUGAUACUGCAUGGCUGGAAUGCGGUCGAGGCGGGCGGGACGUGGCGUGUAGCGGUGAAAUGCGUAGAUAUGCCACAGAACGCCGAUAGCGGAGGCAGCUCGCCAGGCCUGCAUUGACGCUCGGGCACGAAAGCGUGGGGAUCGAACAGGAUUAGAUACCCUGGUAGUCCACGCCGUAAACGAUGGGCGCUCGUCGUCGGCGGCAGACAGUCGGCGGCCAAGCGAAAGCGAUAAGCGCCCCACCUGGGGAGUACAGUCGCAAGGCUGAAACUCAAAUGAAUUGACGGGG
rnacentral:rRNA from 1 species